CCCACUGACUCCAUUGAAUUACCCUGUAGUGCCUAGCUUUCCUCAGGUUCCCAAGACCUUAGAUGCUCUAAGCUAGCUUUCCUCCCUCUGGACUCCAGAUGGCACUCUCAUCUUGGAGUUCCCAAUUACUUGUCCUCUACUCCAAGCAUAGUUUUUAGUAUUUUGAUAUGAUCUUUCAAGCAGUGAAGAGCUAGAUUUUGCUUUGUGAGUCAAUCAGGGUCCUUUUUAGUAAAACAUUUAUUAAUACAAAUAAUGUAACCAAACUACCAUUUAGUAGAACAACAGAACCAAAACAUAACAAUAUAUUUCAAAUAAUAGCCAGUAUAAUACUACGUUCCUCAGCCAUAUGGUAUAUGUGUAGUAUUUUUUUUUUUUUAUUUUAAGUUUCUAUUUGAUCUCCUUUCUUUGCUCUUUUGAUACUUAUCGGAUGCUUUGCACUUAGGAUGGCUUCACUUCUUCAGGCCCUCUUUCCUAUCUCUUGUCUUCCAGCCUUUUGUUUCCAGUGUUGGUGGUGCCCUCAUCCUCACCUUCUUUGCCUCUUCUCUUCCUCCUCCUGGGUCCUGAUGGCUGCUUGUUAAGUCAUUAGGGCAUGCAAGUUGCAUAUUAAGUUACUUCUGUUCCUGCUUUGAUUUCAGCCUCAUAUCUCUACACUGUAAUGCCCAGUACCUCAGGGCUUCAUCUCAGAUUUCCCCUCAAAUUCCUUCAUUGGAUAAUCUGGAAGACUGUGCAGAAAGAGCUCUGAAGACAGUUUCCGCAGGAAUGUCAGCUCGGAAAUCCCUCCAUCCUCUGAUGUGCCUCUCAGUCAGUCAGGAAAAUAUCAGCUGCCAGGAUGAAACUCUGGAUAAACAAGAAGAAAAUCCUAGUUACUGCUCCCAAGGAUCACGAAGCCUUCUGCAGGCUACACAAAGGAAGGGAAGUUGAAGGAGCUCAGUGGUCACAUGUGGGCUCUCCUGUCAGAGUGGCAGCUGUUUCUGGGGUUAAGCAGCCGCCUCCCUGCAGGAGGCCCUCAGCCCAGUAUCACAAACCCAUGCUUGCUUCUCUCAUUGGCACAGGCAUGCUGGGUGUUAAAUCUGUUAAAUGUCAUUGUUGUAAAUCCUUUAAUGUGGUAAAUGGUGAGAUUUGAUCUGUUUCUCUGUGGUUCCCAAUGUUUAAUAAAUUUUCCUCAACUUAA